GUGAAUCAGACAUAUCCAACUUUCUCAUCACUUGCAAGUUGUUGAAGGAUCUACAUUUGUUCAAUUGUGACUGAUAAUCUCAGCACAUUGCAAGUUGAGCACACUCAUCUCACUGAACUCAGUAUGGUUGGUUAUCUUUUUGAACAAGUUAAGCUAAACUGGCUCCCUCAACUCACGCAAAUGGUCUUUGAUGAUUGGAUUGAUUUCCAAGAUCCACUGGUUCUUGGUCAUGUCCCAUUGCUCAAGGCUUUAAGCCUCACAUAUGUUACAUGUAGUUUUCACAAGAUGGUCAAGUUAAGUGAGUUUCCUAGCCAUACCUCUAUACUAGAUCUGAAGCUGGGAUUUAAAUCCAAAAAGGUUCAACAUUGUCGCUUUGCUAGCCAUGGCUUCAGCUCUUCUCUCAGUUCUCUGCUCAUUUCAUCAGCAUGUCUUUAUCCGUUGCAGAUUUGGGUGCAGCCAGAAUGUCCAAUGGAAAUUCUUGCAUCCUUCCGCCAACUAUAAGGUGCACUUCAGGAGCGUGUGUCAUGCACGACGAUAUUAGAUCAUCUGCAGCUUCCAAACUCGACAUUACAAAAGACCAGCGUACCGAUUGCUGAGAACCUCGCGGUGUUCCGAGCAAUCAAGUACAUGCAAUAUUUGCAAAAAAAACACUAAAGGGAUGUCAGCUUUUGGUGAUGCAAGUAGCAGCUAUUAGGUGUUCAUUUUCUGUUCGGGUGUCGUGUCCUCAAAAUACAAUGUCCUUUCUUGAUUGGCCUACAUAUGAAGUAGGUUCCUGUUGCAAACAA